CAAUAGCGUAUAUUAACGUUGUUGCAGUUAAAAAGCUCGUAGUUGAAUUUCUGGCGGGCGCGCCGGUCUUCCAAGUGUUGUACUGGGCGCAGUCCGCCAUCCUUGUGGAGAGGGCUCGCAUUGAGUUGCGUGUCGGAUCUGCAUCAUUUACUGUGAAAAAAUUAGAGUGUUUAAAGCAGGCUGUCGCUUGAAUACAUUAGCAUGGAAUAAUGAGAUAGGACUUCGGUCUAUUUUGUUGGUUGCGAACCGAGGUAAUGAUUAAUAGGGAUAGUUGGGGGUAUUCAUAUUUAAUUGUCAGAGGUGAAAUUCUUGGAUUUAUGAAAGAUGAACAACUGCGAAAGCAUUUACCAAGGAUGUUUUCAUUAA
rnacentral:rRNA from 1 species